rnacentral:rRNA from 1 species
UACGGAGGGUGCAAGCGUUAUCCGGAUUCACUGGGUUUAAAGGGUGCGUAGGAGGGCAGGUAAGUCAGUGGUGAAAUCCCCAAGCUUAACUUGGGAACUGCCGUUGAUACUAUCUGUCUUGAAUACCGUGGAGGUGAGCGGAAUAUGUCAUGUAGCGGUGAAAUGCUUAGAUAUGACAUAGAACACCAAUUGCGAAGGCAGUUCGCUACACGAAUAUUGACUCUGAGGCACGAAAGCGUGGGGAUCAAACAGG